UGGCUUCUUUUUUUGUACACUUCCAGCCCAGGCUAUUGGACUGGACAGCUCUGCACUAUUUUUUUUUCUUCCUCUGAAGCUUCUUGACUUCUUUCUCUCUUACUUGAUCCUCAGCAGACCUAGCUACUUUGAUGAUAUUAUGGGAUGACAGCCAGAACUGAAAAUAAGAAGAAAGAAGCCUACUGACAAAGUGUUGUGUUGGUUUUUUUUCCGUCAAAAAUGUAUAUGUGUCAUCAGUGGUUUUGAUGCCAAAAUCCUUGUGCAAUGAACACAACUGGCAUGAACACUUGGAUGCCUUCCAAAUGCAGAUGGGAUUGUCAAAGAAAUGAUGAAGGUCACAGCUUUCCAGCUACCAUCUGAGUGAUUUGCAACAGAAGCUGCUUUUAACACUGGGACUGCAAUCCUGAUUUCACUGAAAUAAACAAGACUUUGGUCACUGACUUGAA